rnacentral:rRNA from 1 species
CGUAGGCGGCCUGCUAAGUCGAACGUGAAAUCCCCGGGCUCAACCCGGGAACCUGCGUCCGAUACUGGUGGGCUUGAAUCCGGGAGAGGGAUGUGGAAUUCCAGGUGUAGCGGUGAAAUGCGUAGAUAUCUGGAGGAACACCGGUGGCGAAGGCGGCAUCCUGGACCGGCAUUGACGCUGAGGCGCGAAAGCCAGGGGAGCAAACG